GCCCUUUAAAAUGGACUCUGAGCUCUUGAGGUGAAGCAUAUUUCAAAGACAGGGUGUCAUCCAUACAGAAUGGUGUCAGCCCAUUGAAGAAGGAUGUGAGGACAGAGUAGAAUUUUUGGAUUUUACCCAUUAUAAAAAUUUGGUGUUCCUUAGGGGAUGAUCUACCCUGGAGCCAUCCCGUGUCACGCCCCUGCACCUCAAAGGGCCCUAGUUUGGGAAUCCUCCAUUGUUUUCUACUCUGUAAGUUCAUGCAAGGUUAGGAUAGGUGAUAGGGGAACAGGGUCUGAGUCAAAGGGUCUAGUCUGACUGCCCUUCAGUCCUCUCUUUCUAGCUGUGCUGACUUUUGAAUAGCUCAUUUGGGUGGCACAGCCAAACUAGGGAAUUACCAGAGUGAAGAUUAGAUCUCAGCUAUGUCUGAGGGGAGUCGUCCUGGGAGUUAGGCAGGCUUGUUGGAGAGAAGCCUCCUUGGAGGUGGGAAAAGGCCUGCAGGUGUGCCGAUAGUUGUGUUAAAAAUCGGGGAAGUCUGGCUGUGAAAGAAGAGUGAAGCGGCUGAUGCGUGCCUCCAAAGGCUGAAGAAAGACCAGUGGGCAGAAAUCACAGUUGUGCAGCUCUCAGCCUAAUUUCCUACAAAAAGCCUUGUGCCAAUGGAGACCACUUUGCUCACUGGAGCACGUGGUGGCUCAGGCCGUUUACUCAAACACUAGUCCUGACUCCCCUCACUGUGCUCCCUAAGUUGUGAGGAAAGGGGCUUCUGUGUACAGGCACUGCCCUCGGCCUGUAUCCCAUCUUUCUCAAUGGAGAGCUAUCCCCUCUUUUAGGGGGGUGGGGAUGAGUUUCCAUUUUCUUUUUCUUUUUUAUCGAGAUGUAAUUGGCAUACCACAUUAAUUAGUUUCAGGAGUACAACAUGAUUAUUUGUAUAUAUUGCAAAAUGAUCACCAAAAUAAGUUUAGUUAACAUCUAAGAGCUAUUCACUUUUACAUGGAUGACAGGCAGAUGAGUCUUUAUGAGAAUUUUGCCUAACUAGGCACAUGAAUUCUGGAGUGGGGGAAGCCCGUGAACUCAGACACCUUCCAGACUAGGCAAGUAACAUGAAGUGAGACGUAAAACAAAGGCUGGGAAGAAGCCCGCGGCAAACCAGAGAGGAAGCGCCCCAUCAAAAGGCAGCAGCUGUUCUGAGUGAGCACUGUCCUGGAGCGCUGUGCCAGCACUGCUAGAUCUUUUAAGACAAGCAGAAAUCCUGAAUGUAUCUGUGUGUGUGAAUUUUAAAAUGUUGGCCAAUCAGGAAGUAUCUUCAAGACGUAUUCAACCCAUGGGCAGGACCAGUUCUGCAACAAUGUAAAAUUGGUGACGCUGGCUAUUGCCCCUUCUCCACCCUCCCCAACACAACAAUUCUUCAGUGUGCCUCCAGUCUUCCAUCAUGGCUCAGCUUGCUAACUGGGCCACUUCUUGAGCCAAUCUUGUGUGUAAACCAGUAGUUCUCAGCUUCACAUCGGAGUCAUCUGAUCUGGUAAUAAUGGUUCCUACAUAUGCCCAUGUUCUAAUCUUCAUAACCUAUGAAUAUAUUACAUUACAUGGCAAAGGGGAAUUAACGUAGCAGAUGCAUUUGAUUUUGAUACUGUAAAUCAACUAAUAGGAAAGUAUUCUUGAUUAUCUGGGUGGGCCCAACACAAUCACAGGGGUCUUGAAAUGUAGGAGAGGGAGGCAGAGAAGUCAAUGUCAGACUGAUGCAAUAUGAGAAAGACUUAACUGAUGGUUGUUGGCUUUGAAGAUGGAAAGUCAGCCUCUAGAAGCUGGAAAAGGUGAGAGAACUGAGUGUCCCGUAGAGCCUCCAGGAGGGAUUCAAAUCUGCCAACACCUUGAUUUUAGCUCACUGAGAACUCUUUUGGACUAAUGCAUUAUAGAUGUAUAAGAUAAUAAAUUUAUUUUGUUUCAA